UGAGGCGAACCGGGGGAACUGAAACAUCUAAGUACCCCGAGGAAAAGAAAUCAACCGAGAUUCCCCCAGUAGCGGCGAGCGAACGGGGAGGAGCCCAGAACCUGAAUCAGUUCUUGUGUUAGUGGAAGCGUCUGGAAAGUCGCACAGUAAAGGGUGAUAGUCCCGUACACUAAAAUGCAUUAAUUGUGAGUUCGAUGAGUAGGGCGGGACACGUGACAUCCUGUCUGAAUAUGGGGGGACCAUCCUCCAAGGCUAAAUACUCCUGACUGACCGAUAGUGAACCAGUACCGUGAGGGAAAGGCGAAAAGAACCCCGGCGAGGGGAGUGAAAUAGAACCUGAAACCGUGUACGUACAAGCAGUGGGAGCACCUUCGUGGUGUGACUGCGUACCUUUUGUAUAAUGGGUCAGCGACUUAUAUUUUGUAGCAAGGUUAACCGUAUAGGGGAGCCGUAGGGAAACCGAGUCUUAACUGGGCGAAUAGUUGCAAGGUAUAGACCCGAAACCCGGUGAUCUAGCCAUGGGCAGGUUGAAGGUUGGGUAACACUAACUGGAGGACCGAACCGACUAAUGUUGAAAAAUUAGCGGAUGACUUGUGGCUGGGGGUGAAAGGCCAAUCAAACCGGGAGAUAGCUGGUUCUCCCCGAAAGCUAUUUAGGUAGCGCCUCGUGAACUCAUCUUCGGGGGUAGAGCACUGUUUCGGCUAGGGGGCCAUCCCGGCUUACCAAACCGAUGCAAACUCCGAAUACCGAAGAAUGUUAUCACGGGAGACACACGGCGGGUGCUAACGUCCGUCGUGAAGAGGGAAACAACCCAGACCGCCAGCUAAGGUCCCAAAGUCAUGGUUAAGUGGGAAACGAUGUGGGAAGGCAUAGACAGCCAGGAUGUUGGCUUAGAAGCAGCCAUCAUUUAAAGAAAGCGUAAUAGCUCACUGGUCGAGUCGGCCUGCGCGGAAGAUGUAACGGGGCUAAACCAUGCACCGAAGCUGCGGCAGCGACGCUUAGGCGUUGUUGGGUAGGGGAGCG
rnacentral:rRNA from 1 species